UGGGGAAUAUUGCACAAUGGGCGCAAGCCUGAUGCAGCCAUGCCGCGUGUGUGAAGAAGGCCUUCGGGUUGUAAAGUACUUUCAGCGGGGAGGAAGGGAGUAAAGUUAAUACCUUUGCUCAUUGACGUUACCCGCAGAAGAAGCACCGGCUAACUCCGUGCCAGCAGCCGCGGUAAUACGGAGGGUGCAAGCGUUAAUCGGAAUUACUGGGCGUAAAGCGCACGCAGGCGGUCUGUCAAGUCGGAUGUGAAAUCCCCGGGCUCAACCUGGGAACUGCAUUCGAAACUGGCAGGCUAGAGUCUUGUAGAGGGAGGUAGAAUUCCAGGUGUAGCGGUGAAAUGCGUAGAGAUCUGGAGGAAUACCGGUGGCGAAGGCGGCCCCCUGGACAAAGACUGACGCUCAGGUGCGAAAGCGUGGGGAGCAAACAGG
rnacentral:rRNA from 1 species